rnacentral:lncRNA from 1 species
GCCGGCGGGCAGGGUGGAGGCGGGGCCGGAAGGACCGCGGCAGGGGUGGGGCCCCGGGAGGACCUCGGGCCCCCACCCGCGAGGGUGUCGGCGGCCGCGGCCUUGCGCUUCCGGGGCCGGGGAGGCGGGUUUCUCUCCCUCCAGCUCCGGCAGCCCCGAGGGACACCGAGGCCGGGGGAGGGGCCCCGCGGGGUCCGGAAGCGCAGCGGGUACCGGACUCCCCGCAGCCCCACCGGGCGACGCCGGCCUCGGUCGGGCCCGUGCGCCGCACGGUGCGCGCCUCCCCCGGCCUAAGUCCCGGACACGUCCCCGAAACGAAAACCCACAACGGAGGCCCCGGCCUCCCCGACUCCCACCAGGGCGGACCCCCAGGGGGUGCAGUCACGUCCCGGGGAGGGCAAAUGGAACAAAGGGGGCCGCGCUCGUUGGGGCCGGACGCUCGGGCGGGACGUCCCUGGCCUGGGAGCUGGACGGCGGAGAGCGGAGGAGGAAUGGAGAGAGACGCAGAGGCAGAGACCGGCUCCAUCCGAGUCCCAGCGAGGAGGGAGGCGCGCAGCCGCACAGGCGGAGUCCGGGAGGCACCGCCAGGGUCCGCCGGGUCAGUCACUUCCACUAGAGCCCCCUCCAGGAGGCUGCGAGACCCGGGGGACACCCGUGAUUCGGGGCGGGGGCCCUGUGCGCAGCUCGCCGGCUCCUCACCGGCCUCUCCCGGGGCCGCCUGCCUGGGCGCUCACAUCCCGGGGGCCCGGACCUGAUGCCCUCAGCAGGGGAUGGGUGGGGCGCGCCCUUCGGACCAGUCUGCACCUGGGAAUGGAGCCCCAGGCUGUGGGGGCCUCCUGGCCAACCAGGGGCCACCUGGCCCAGCUUCGGCCACAAAUCCGGGCGCUGUGCUCCCAGGGACACCGACCGAGGGCGCCAAGGAAGCAGUGGGGAGCCCAGGACACGACCGCGGACUGGAGGGGCCGCCGCGGGGUCGCGCCGGGCUGCACCGGGCGUCCGACAGCCGGAGAUCGUGCUCCGGGGGCAGCGCCGGCGUCCUGCCGCCCUGCUGCGUCCACCGGGAGACUCCGGGGCCUCCCGCGGGCAGCCGGGCAGCCGGGCAGCCGGAGCGGGCUCCUGGACCCGUGCGGAAGGGUGAGACAGGGAGCUGAGCUGCGUGCCCCGAGUUCCUGGCGACGGAUGCUGCUGGAGCCUGGUCCCGCGCGCCCUCUAGGGCUUCCUGGGCUUCGUGUUAGCCCUGCUGAGACACCCAGGAUGCUGGCUCAGUAUGGGGCAGAGCCAGCUUCGUGAGCCCAGCCGGACUGACUCCAGUUUGCACCCACUGUCUGUGCUUCAAAGUUGGGCUCCUGGCUCCUAGCCCCACCCACACAGCAGACAGCCCCUCUUUCUACCUCCUGGCUCCCUCCAGCUGAGGACCUCAGAGCCCACAGGCAAGGAACCCUCUCUACAGGUCAGCUUUUCACUAUUCCAUUGAAAGCCGUAGCCCUUCUUCCACUGAAUUUGCAGCUAUGGACCCUUUCUCUGUUUGAGGCAGUGACGGACACAGGCUGGGUGUCCAGGUGACGACUGAAGGUCUGGACGGGUCUGCUGGCUGACUGGCUUCCUGGCAGGCAGAGGGGAGUUUCUAGACAAGGCAUCUGCACUCUCCUCCACCUUCUCCUGCACCUGUGGCCCUGGCAGCCUCCAGGGACACCUGCUGGAGACCUACUGCAGAGGCGACCCUCCUCCUCAAGACCUCUCCGCCACAGGUGCUCAGUGGUGAGCGGAGGUCGCCAGGCCACCUUGGAACUGUGCCCUCAUUGGCCACAAAGUUAAAUAAAAUGGUUGCG